AGUGAACGCUGGCGGUAGGCCUAACACAUGCAAGUCGAACGGCAGCACAGUAAGAGCUUGCUCUUACGGGUGGCGAGUGGCGGACGGGUGCGGAAUACAUCGGAAUCUACUUUUUCGUGGGGGAUAACGUAGGGAAACUUACGCUAAUACCGCAUACGACCUACGGGUGAAAGCAGGGGAUCUUGGGACCUUGCGCGAUUGAAUGAGCCGAUGUCGGAUUAGCUAGUUGGCGGGGUAAAGGCCCACCAAGGCGACGAUCCGUAGCUGGUCUGAGAGGAUGAUCAGCCACACUGGAACUGAGACACGGUCCAGACUCCUACGGGAGGCAGCAGUGGGGAAUAUUGGACAAUGGGCGCAAGCCUGAUCCAGUCAUACCGCGUGGGUGAAGAAGGCCUUCGGGUUGUAAAGCCCUUUUGUUGGGAAAGAAAAGCAGCAGGUUAAUACCCCGCUGUUCUGACGGUACCCAAAGAAUAAGCACCGGCUAACUUCGUG
rnacentral:rRNA from 1 species